rnacentral:rRNA from 1 species
UACGGAGGGUGCGAGCGUUGUUCGGAAUUAUUGGGCGUAAAGCGCGUGUAGGCGGCUGUUUAAGUCCGAUGUGAAAGCCCUGGGCUCAACCCGGGAAGUGCAUUGGAAACUGGACAGCUUGAGUACGGGAGAGGGUAGUGGAAUUCCGAGUGUAGGGGUGAAAUCCGUAGAUAUUCGGAGGAACACCGGUGGCGAAGGCGGCUACCUGGACCGAUACUGACGCUGAGACGCGAAAGCGUGGGGAGCAAACAGG